GGCCCCGUCAUCUAAUCGGUCAGGAUACUGGCCUUUCAAGCCAGCGAUGCGGGUUCGAGUCCCGUCGGGGUCA
rnacentral:tRNA from 1 species